rnacentral:lncRNA from 1 species
AACAAAACAAUCAAGGUGGCAGUUCUUCCCCAUUUAUGUCUAUUUCUAAUUAAGCUUUUUCAAAUAUAUGCCUAUGCUUGUAUGUAUGAGUGCAGGCACAGAGUCGGCAGAGGGCAUCAGAUCUCAUGAAAUUGGAGUGACAGGCUGUUGUGAGCUAUCUGAUGUGGGGGCUGGGAAUCAAAGUCAGGUCCUUUGGAAGAGCAGGAAGCACUUGUAACUGCUGAGCCAUCCCCCCAAUCCCUGUGGUGUGUGUGUGUGUGUGUGUGUGUGUGUGUGUGUGUAAUUUUGGUGGCCAAUACAAAUAACAUUUUCUCCAUUAUAAUUUUAUUUUCUUUGUUUACUUUGAGAUGAUUGCAUCCAGCUAAAUUUCUUCUUGCUUUACUACUACUGGCUACCUUCUCCUGUAUUCCUGUAGUUGUUUUAUUAUAUGCUCAUAAUAGUUCAGUCUUUGGAGCUUUUUCCCUUAUGGUGUCUUUUUCCAGCAGGGUCAACUUUGUACAUGACAAUUCAUAUCUCCAGACUGGGGAAACAAAAGCUUCAAGGCAUUUUUAGUACAUAGGCAUGAAAUGCUAAAUCCUGUCAAUUCCAGAUCCAAGGUCUGCUUCCUAUCAGGUAGCAUAAUAUAGAUUAGGCUUUGGAAACUCCCAAAAUAGCAUUUGCUAAUUUGCCCUUUCCUUCUUCCUUUUAUUUUUCCUGGUAUCUGUGUAGAUCCUACCAUAGUCUAGAUUCCUGUAAGACUCUGUCAUCUGGUCAACUGCUACUACCAAAUAGCUAUAUUUAUUGUUAUGAGCAAAAAUCUGUUUGAAAAAGGCAGCAAAGGAAGACUUUUUAGUGUAUCAUUUUCCCAUUGCUGUCCUGGGUGAAGCAUAACUCCCAUGGACAGAAAUACAGAGUUCAUUUGAGUAUAAAAUAGCAGGCAAGGAAACAGGUGUAGAUGGGCUUUGUUGUGAGAUCUGCCUACUCUCCAGGAAGACAGCCUCCCCCUCACCUCCCCAACAGAAGUCUCUCCCCUUCCUUCAUUACAGAUCAUCGUAAGACUUCCAUCCUAUGCUGGUCUACGUAGAAAUGAGAGAGUACAUACUUUUUCUUUUAACACAUCGUACUUUUUCCUCCCCUGAGCUUGCUAACCUUCAGCUUAAGUGUGCACCAAGUGCAGAUGUAUAGUCUUCCUCCCUUCCUGUCCCUCACUUAUUCUGAAGGAAGGCAGCAGGUGAGGGGAUGCGGAAAGCAUGGGGUGGGAGGCUGGGAGGGAGGAGUUUUUCUCACACGCACUAUGGAUGUUGCUCAACCAAAUGGUGUGAAAUUGAGUCAGAGCCACAGCAUGUGUUUCAAUUUUCCAGGGAAUUUCCUCUUCCUAACUGUAGGUUUAACCCUUUCUUUUGUUUAAUGCCAAGAGUUACCUAAAAACAUAAAAUGAGUUAAAUAU